GCGGGUAUAGCAUAGUGGUAAUGCUCCAGCCUUCCAAGCUGGCUAGGCGGGUUCGAUUCCCGCUACCCGCUCCA
rnacentral:tRNA from 1 species